UUACUUGUCAUGUACAUAAUUGUGUUUAACAGUUAGAUGUGAUGUAGAUAUAAUAUUUUUAGAUGCGUUGUCACAUUGUUGCUGUCUUUUGUGAGUAAUGGCAUAUUUGGCUAGGGAAUUUAGUGACUGCAGUACUGGAAGAUUCCAGUAGGGGGCGUUGACAUGUGACUAGGGUCAAGCACGCGUUCCUUUAGUAUCAUAGAACAAUACACUGAUCGAGGGAAACUCAGCGUGUUUCUUUCUCUCUAAUACCUGUUCCCUUAUUGCAGAUUUCAAAUAAGAUGAUAGACUGGGAGUGCAGGGUGUAAAAAGAUUCAUCGUUCAAGACUCCACCUCCUCAGACACCACACAGUAGAACAUAGACACUGCUCAAAAAUAAGUCCACUUCCAUCUUGAAGAUUCUGAAGUGCACAUUGAGAAGGAGCCAGUGAAUGUCUCUGUUGUUCUUGAGGACGAAUUGGUCCACUCCCCACCCACAACCAACUUCCAGAGGCCUUUCUUGUCCUGUUUGGAUUCCAGUAUGCUUUUCACAUACAUAUUCCAAAAGGACUUGCAAAAACAUUUCUAUUUGUGCAAAAAACUUUUGCUUGGCAUGGAAGGUGGGAAACUGUCUCCUCGCCUGCAAACAUUAAAGAACGAGUUGAUGUGAAGCAUAACUUGUACUACCUCAGCACACACAAAAGACAAAAAGAGUUACUUAAAUGUUAUCUAACUGAUGUUACGUUGCUUUUUACUUAUAUCUUCUUAGUUCUUAUUGACAAGUUAUUGUAUUAACAAACCGGUUCAGUUUAAGAAAUUGUCAUGUUUAAUGCAACUGUGUGGUGUUAAUAUAUAAAGUUGGCUGUUAAGCAUUACUUGCUCAUUUCUCAUUUUAUAAAAUGCUGUUAAACAGUUUGAGCCUGUUAAAAGGUAUGUUGUGUUGCUAAGAGAAUUUAAUUUUUGACUGAAAAAUAUUAAAUGCUAUUAAACAGUUAUGUUACCUUGAACCCAUUAAAAGGGUAACUUUACUUUUGUGGGUUGCUAAACAGACUUUAAUUUUUGACUGCAGAUUGUAUCACAUUUGUAAAUUUAAGAGAGAUGUUUAAUGCAACUUUCUCAUGCUAGUUUAAAUGUAUGAAAUGUGCUGUGGAGCAAUCCUUUUGUGAAAUAAAUUGCCAAAAUUUUA